CAGUCGCCACGGGAACACGAAGGGUGCAAGCGUUAAUCGGAUUUACUGGGCGUAAAGCGCACGUAGGCGGAUCGAUCAGUCAGUGGUGAAAUCCCAGAGCUCAACUCUGGAACUGCCUUUGAUACUGUCGAUCUGGAGUAUGGAAGAGGUGAGUGGAAUUCCGAGUGUAGAGGUAAAAUUCGUAGAUAUUCGGAGGAACACCAGUGGCGAAGGCGGCUCACUGGUCCAUUACUGACGCUGAGGUGCGAAAGCGUGGGGAGCAAACAGGAUUAGAUACCCCUGUAGUCCCUGUCUCUUAUAC
rnacentral:rRNA from 1 species